rnacentral:rRNA from 1 species
AGGGUUUGAUUCUGGCUCAGGAUGAACGCUGGCGGCGUGCUUAACACAUGCAAGUCGAACGGGAAUUACUUUAUUGAAACUUCGGUCGAUAUGAUUUAAUUCUAGUGGCGGACGGGUGAGUAACGCGUGGGUAACCUGCCUUAUACAGGGGGAUAACAGUCAGAAAUGACUGCUAAUACCGCAUAAGCGCACAGGACCGCAUGGUCCGGUGUGAAAAACUCCGGUGGUAUAAGAUGGACCCGCGUUGGAUUAGCUAGUUGGUGAGGUAACGGCCCACCAAGGCGACGAUCCAUAGCCGGCCUGAGAGGGUGAACGGCCACAUUGGGACUGAGACACGGCCCAGACUCCUACGGGAGGCAGCAGUGGGGAAUAUUGCACAAUGGGGGAAACCCUGAUGCAGCGACGCCGCGUGAAGGAAGAAGUAUCUCGGUAUGUAAACUUCUAUCAGCAGGGAAGAAAAUGACGGUACCUGACUAAGAAGCCCCGGCUAACUACGUGCCAGCC